AGUGGCGGACGGGUGAGUAACGCGUGGGUAACCUGCCUCAUACAGGGGGAUAACAGUUAGAAAUGACUGCUAAUACCGCAUAAGACCACAGCACCGCAUGGUGCAGGGGUAAAAACUCCGGUGGUAUGAGAUGGACCCGCGUCUGAUUAGGUAGUUGGUGGGGUAACGGCCUACCAAGCCGACGAUCAGUAGCCGACCUGAGAGGGUGAACGGCCACAUUGGGACUGAGACACGGCCCAA
rnacentral:rRNA from 1 species